rnacentral:rRNA from 1 species
AACGAACGCUGGCGGCAUGCCUAACACAUGCCAGUCGAACGAGACCUUCGGGUCUAGUGGCGCACGGGUGCGUAACGCGUGGGAACCUGCCCUUAGGUUCGGAAUAACUCCCCGAAAGGGGUGCUAAUACCGGAUAAUGUCUUCGGACCAAAGAUUUAUCGCCUUUGGAUGGGCCCGCGUUGGAUUAGCUAGUUGGUAGGGUAAAAGCCUACCAAGGCGACGAUCCAUAGCUGGUCUGAGAGGAUGAUCAGCCACACUGGGACUGAGACACGGCCCAGACUCCUACGGGAGGCAGCAGUGGGGGAUAUUGGACAAUGGGCGAAAGCCUGAUCCAGCAAUGCCGCGUGAGUGAUGAAGGCCUUAGGGUUGUAAAGCUCUUUUACCCGGGAUGAUAAUGACAGUACCGGGAGAAUAAGCGCCGGCUAACUCCGUG